GCUCACUGUGAUAGCUCAGUCGGUAGAGCAUGAGACUCCUAAUCCCAGGGUCCUGGGUUCAAGUCCCAGGUUGAGCA